ACGCUGGCGGCACGCCUAACACAUGCAAGUCGAACGAAGUAGCAAUACUUAGUGGCAGACGGGUGAGUAACAUGUAGGUAUCUGCCCUUUGGCCUGGAAUAACACGAGGAAACUUGUGCUAAUACCGGAUAAGUCUUUACGGAGAAAGCUUUAUGCACCAUUGGAUGAGCCUGCACUUGAUUAGUUUGUUGGUGGGGUAAUGGCCUACCAAGACUGUGAUCAAUAGCUGAUUUGAGAGGAUGAUCAGCCACAUUGGGACUGAGACACGGCCCAAACUCCUACGGGAGGCAGCAGUGGGGAAUCUUGCACAAUGGAGGAAACUCUGAUGCAGCGAUGCCGCGUGAGUGAAGAAGGCCUUUGGGUUGUAAAGCUCUUUCGUCGGGGAAGAAAAUGACUGUACCCGAAUAAGAAGGUCCGGCUAACUUCGUGCCAGCAGCCGCGGUAAUACGAAGGGACCUAGCGUAGUUCGGAAUUACUGGGCUUAAAGAGUUCGUAGGUGGUUGAAAAAGUUAGUGGUGAAAUCCCAGAGCUUAACUCUGGAACUGCCAUUAAAACUUUUCAGCUAGAGUACGAUAGAGGAAAGCAGAAUUUCUAGUGUAGAGGUGAAAUUCGUAGAUAUUAGAAAGAAUACCAAUUGCGAAGGCAGCUUUCUGGAUCAUUACUGACACUGAGGAACGAAAGCAUGGGUAGCGAAGAGGAUUAGAUACCCUCGUAGUCCAUGCCGUAAACGAUGUGUGUUAGACGUUGGAAAUUUAUUCUCAGUGUCGCAGCGAAAGCGAUAAACACACCGCCUGGGGAGUACGACCGCAAGGUUAAAACUCAAAUGAAUUGACGGGGACCCGCACAAGUAGUGGAGCAUGUGGUUUAAUUCGAAGAUACGCGCAGAACCUUACCAACACUUGACAUGUUCGUCGCGACUCUAAGAGAUUAGAGUUUUCGGUUCGGCCGGACGAAACACAGGUGCUGCAUGGCUGUCGUCAGCUCGUGUCGUGAGAUGUUGGGUUAAGUCCCGCAACGAGCGCAACCCUCACUUUUAGUUGCCAUCAUUAAGUUGGGCACUCUGAAAGAACUGCCAGUGAUAAGCUGGAGGAAGGUGGGGAUGACGUCAAGUCCUCAUGGCCCUUACGUGUUGGGCUACACACGUGCUACAAUGGUAUCUACAACAGGAAGCAAGACUGCGAAGUUAAGCAAAUCCCUAAAAGAUACCUCAGUUCGGAUUGCACUCUGCAACUCGAGUGCAUGAAGCUGGAAUUACUAGUAAUCGUGGAUCAGCGUGCCACGGUGAAUGCGUUCCCGGGUCUUGUACUCACC
rnacentral:rRNA from 1 species